rnacentral:rRNA from 1 species
AGGGAAUAUUGGACAAUGGGCGCAAGCCUGAUCCAGCCAUGCCGCGUGAGUGAAGAAGGCCCUCGGGUUGUAAAGCUCUUUUGUCCGGAAAGAAAAGCAUCGGGUUAAUACCCCGGUGUUCUGACGGUACCGGAAGAAUAAGCACCGGCUAACUUCGUGCCAGCAGCCGCGGUAAUACGAAGGGUGCAAGCGUUACUCGGAAUUACUGGGCGUAAAGCGUGCGUAGGUGGUUCGUUAAGUCUGAUGUGAAAGCCCUGGGCUCAACCUGGGAAUGGCAUUGGAAACCGGCGGACUGGAGUGCGGGAGAUGGUAGCGGAAAUCCGGGUCUUGCAGUAAAAUGCGUAGAGAUCGCAAGGAACAUCCGUGGCGAAGGCGG